UUAACAUACCCUUCCUUUUGGUUAAUCACCGAUUAUCGGUUAAAAUACCACUUUUUCCUUCUUUGGGUUAAUCACCUCUUAUGGUUAACAUACCUUUUUUUGUUAAUCACCGUCUAUUGGUUAAAAUAUCACUUUUUCCUUCUAUGGGUUAAUCACCUUCUUGGUUAACAUACCCUUUCUUUUGGUUAAUCACCGAUUCUCGGUUAAAAUUUCACUUUCUUUCUUUGGGUUAAUUACCUUC
rnacentral:lncRNA from 1 species